rnacentral:rRNA from 1 species
UACGGGGGGAGCAAGCGUUGUUCGGAUUUACUGGGCGUAAAGGGCGCGUAGGCGGCCACCGCAAGUCGGUUGUGAAAUCUCCGGGCUUAACCCGGAACGGUCAAUCGAUACUGCGGGGCUAGAGUGCAGAAGGGGCAACUGGAAUUCUCGGUGUAGCGGUGAAAUGCGUAGAUAUCGAGAGGAACACCUACGGCGAAGGCGGGUUGCUGGGCUGACACUGACGCUGAGGCGCGAAAGCUAGGGGAGCGAACGGG